GCUCAGCAGCAGGACCGGCCCUUCAUCUGGUCUGAGGGACUGAGGUGCAGGUUGAGAGCAUGGAUUCUGCAGUCAGGCGCCUGGGUUUAAGCUGCGGCUCUAUCGCUCCCUGGCUGUGUGAGCUCGGUAACUACACAGUUUCCACUCCUGAUUGCUACUGUAAAAUGCCCCAUUCCGAAGCAAUGUCUGCAGACCCAGAGGAAGAGGACAGCGAUGAUGACAGCGGCAGCACGUAUCACAGAACAGCAGCUAGUGGCGCAGCUCUGUGUCUCGUCCAGCCGGUUGGCUACUGCCCACCUCCCAACUGGAACAUCUGAGACUUAUCAACACAAUGCAAUAAAUACCAGCCUGCAAGAAAGGGCCCUUUCCCCACAUUUUCAUUGUUUUGCUAAAUGAUAAGGAGCUCCCACCUGUCAGAUGCUUCUCUGCUUUUUGGAAACCUAGGCUUACCAAUAGGGUGCGUUUCCCUCUUUCUGCACUUAAUGGCUAUUGAAGGCUGUAUCUUUCUAGUAAUAAGUUGUAUCUUUUCACAGACAAAUAAAAUUAGAAAGACCUCUCAUUCAUCUCACUGAGAGAUGUAAAGUAUUUCAUUUAUGUUUAAUAUUCCUUUAUCAACAUUUAUCAUUCAAUCAUAUUAUUUUACUAAAUUAUAAUCCUAUCUCAAUCCAGAUUUUUUUUAACAUAGGUUUACAGUCACAGGAGACAAGCUUUUUAAAAAUAAUUUCAACUUAUGUACAUAUUUAUGAUGCAGGAUGAUGACUUUCAAGAAUAAAUACAUGAGGACAAGAUUUGAUGGGCUACAUGGAAUAGAAAUUCAAGUUCAAGAAACAAAAAGAAUUUCUGGCUGUUUAAGGCCUGCAGAAAUCGUACAGGUCACCGCAGGGCCUCUGAGGGAUUACGUCAGCGGGACCCAGACUGGAGGUGCGGUGAAGGCACAGGGUCACCGAGGAGCUGGCAGCCUGG